rnacentral:lncRNA from 1 species
UUUUUUUCUAAGAACAAAAGACUUGACAUGGAGAAAGCAACAUUCACGAACACAAUACAAAGGCAUGCACCACGCCCAGUUUAUCUGAAUCCAUAACAGUGCAGUAAAGGUACAUUGUACGUCCGGUAACAAAACUAAAGCCACUCAAUGUGCUUCCACCUUUUUUUUAUUGUCAACACUGGAUUAUUAACAUCAGUCCAGUUGUUUCCUCAUAAACUCAGUAUAAGAUGCUCCCUUCAUUCUACAAUGUAGUGCACCCACGCUUCCUGAGAUCUAAGUUGAAGUAUGUGAGAUCAUAGUUAUAAAUUUCGCCGGGGUAGCACAAUUACAUGAAAGAGUGCAUACAGUACCCAAAGCUAUCACUACAAGUCUACAACUGAGAGGACUGUCGGACGGGCACAUUUCUUCAGUAUGUAUAGAGUCUGUCUACCCUACAAUAGUUAAGCUGCAAAAAGGAAAAUUACAAGAUGACCAGACCAGAACAAGUGUUCCACUACUAUAGAAUUCAGUAGCUUCCACACAGCGAAAGAUGGAACUCAAAACAUCAGUGCAAGCUUUGCCAGCUGCAAUUAACUUCAAAAACCAGAGCAAUAGGUAAUGCCAGCGCUUACUCCACUGCAGAUUUUUCAGAAAUCUAGCAAAAGGAAAACCUUCUUAUUUCAGAUUAAGGUGAAGAUGACUCCUGCAGUUCCGACUGACUGUUCUGAACUAUUCGAGACGUCAGCUUAGAUAUCUCAAAAAUUGUAACGGCGAUGAAGCAACGAGCAGAACAGAGAUGCAGCAACGAAAAAGAUCAUACAACCUGUAAAAUACAAAAAUGAACCGGUCAGAAUUGUUAUGGCGUUGCUAGAAGGAGGGCGCGAGAGGGCCGGCCGAGGGUCUUUUUGCCCACGGCCGGGCAAGAGGGAAGGGAUUUCCUUCUUAAUUCUUGCCUGAUUAGAUUGAUACAUCUCCUCUCUUUAUAUAGAGAGGUUUACUUGACUCCCAAGCAAGGCUUACUUGACCCCUAAGCAAGCGACCCUUAUCUCUAAUUAACCCUAAGACUAAUGGGCCCAUUAGGCCCAUUACAUACUCUAACACUACACCCCACCUGGACAUGCAGCUUGUCCUCGAGCUGCAGCCUAACCAACUUAUAAUCAUGACUCGACGCAACACAAACCUAACACCUAAAAACAAGCCUUUUACAUCUCAGCUUGUUUUAUUACUCUCAGCCUGAAAUGGACCGGGAUGCUUUAUUUUGGACUCCUUAACAAAAAGUGGACACCCUCCACACAUCGGACGUGCACGUGUACAGCCAACUGGAUCCCAUGGACACCAUCUGAACGAAAGCAGUGCAUGUGUAUGGCCACCUGGAAGUGGUCGCAAGAGCGACCAGCGGAGGCGCCCUCGCGGCGGCCGGCGGCAGAAUGCAGUGGUGUUACGCGGUCCGCUCCUGUCGAGGAGGGGUGCGCCCCCCCACCGCCAAUGUCGCAUACUUUGAGGUCACUGCCCGCGAGGAAAACAUCAUGCCCGUUUGUGGGGGAAACCGCAUGCCCAAGAUCCUCGAUGCAGCAGACGAGAUCGAGGUCUGUCGCACAGCGAAGGGCAACUUGGGGGAGCAGCAGCUGCAGACCACGCAGUGUUGAGGAGGGCUGCGCAAGGAGGCCGCACGCAGCAGCCGGCAGCCUCACCGUCGCCUCGGACAUGUCACUGGACGGUUGCUUCGUAAGGGACUUCUGUUGACGGAUGGCGGCCGCCGCUUCUAGCAUGGCAACACCUGGAGGCUGAGGGGGCACCCACUGGUGCUGAGGCGGCGGCGGCCUUUCCACAACGCCGCUGUUGUAUGCCAGCGGCCUCGGCUCCUCGGCGUGGAAAUCAGGGGCCUUCCCGUUCUGGUGGUACGAGGGGGCAUAGUUGUCCUGAGCCUGAGAGUAUGACCCAUCCUCGCUCAAGUAGGCGUUGGAUCCAUAACCCUGCUUUUGUUGUGCAUGUUGCAGCAUCUCCAAUGCCUGCUUGCUCCCAGAAGGUCUAUUAUCCCCUCGCUGUACUAUCUGCUCAACAUAAGAUCUUGAAUAUGAUCUAGAUGUAAGUUCAGUUGGUGUUGGCGGCUGUAGUGGGCCGAAGGGCAUGGCGGAGGCCGCCAGGAGCGGCGGCUGCCUCGGCAGCCAGGGCUGCUGCUGCAGCGGGCCAGCGACCAUGGCGGAGUCCGGCAAAAGUGGCAGCUGCCAUGGCAGCAAGGGCGGCCCGGUGGUGGUGGGUGGCGGCGGAAACUGUAGCUGGGGCUGCAGCAACCCGGCGAACGCGGCGGAGGCUGCCAGGGCCGGCGGCUGCCACGGCAGCCAUGAAGGCCCGGUGGUGGCGGCGGCCGGCGGCGGCCCGUAGGAUCCGGUCAAGUAGAUGGAUGUCCUGGACCACCAGGGUUAGGUCACGCAGCACCCCGGUCAUAUCCUCCAGUGUGAGGACAGGGGGCGACGUGGCGAUCGGUGGCAGAAGUGUUGAGGAGGGCGGCGGCGAAGACAUGAUCGAACGAAGCUAGUUGAUACCAAAUUGUUAUGGCGUUGCUAGAAGGAGGGCGCGAGAGGGCCGGCCGGGGGCCUUUUUGCCCAUGGCCGGGCAAGAGGGAAGGGAUUUCCUUCUUAAUUCUUGCUUGAUUAGAUUGAUACAUCUCCUCUCUUUAUAUAAAGAGGUUUACUUGACUCCCAAGCAAGGCUUACUUGACUCCUAAGAAAGCGACCCUUAUCUCUAAUUAACCCUAAGACUAAUGGGCCCAUUAGGCCCAUUACAUACUCUAACAAGCACAAUCACAACAUGCAACAAUGCAUAUGCAAGCAAGAAACACUAAGGUAUCAUUUCUAUAAGGUAUCAUAUCCUCAUAAUUACUGUAACUUGCAACAAACUUGUAGAGUAGUUCUUUUAACAAGAACAAGUUGUGAACACGAAUCAUAGGUCUAUCCUCACAUUUGCGCAUCUUAUUUUGUAUUUGUGGUUCUGCAUCGACCACCAAGGUAACAUAAAAAAGGUAUGCAAACCAGGAUAAACUAAAGCAUGUACUUGGAAAGGAAAAUCAAAUAAACAGAAAUGGGCUAGUAUACUUGUGGAUAGGUUAGACAGAAAGUCAGCA